CCUACGGGAGGCAGCAGUGAGGAAUAUUGGUCAAUGGCCGUAAGGCUGAACCAGCCAAGUCGCGUGAAGGAAGAAGGAUCUAUGGUUUGUAAACUUCUUUUAUAGGGGAAUAAAGGUAUCCACGUGUGGAUAUUUGCAUGUACCCUAUGAAUAAGCAUCGGCUAACUCCGUGCCAGCAGCCGCGGUAAUACGGAGGAUGCGAGCGUUAUCCGGGUUUAUUGGGUUUAAAGGGUGCGUAGGUUGUUUUUUAAGUCAGCGGUGAAAGUUUGUGGCUCAACCAUAAAAUUGCCGUUGAAACUGGCAGACUAGAGUGUGUUUGAGGUAGGCGGAAUGCGAGGUGAAGCGGUGAAAUGCAUAGAUAUAACGCAGAACUCCGAUUGCGAAGGCAGCUUACUAAGCCAUAACUGACACUGAAGCACGAAAGCGUGGGGAGCAAACAGGAUUAGAUACCCUAGUAGUC
rnacentral:rRNA from 1 species